GUUAACAUUUUAGUAUAUUUCCAAUCUUUUUUAAGGCGCAACUAUGCUCAUUAUUCAAUAUGUCUUACACUUAUAGGAAAUUGCCUUAGGGGAGUCCAUAAAGGAAUUCCAGGUAUGUCAUGGAAAUCAGGGUGCUGUUUCCCUGGCAACCUCAGUCUUCUAUGCGCAUCCAACUCUCUGGCGGUAUCCAGAUCACUGGGAAAGUUUCCUCAAAAUUGGUGAUAUACCUGUGUCUACAGUAGAUAUUCAACAAAUAAUUGAAUAUGAGUAUACUGUAUAUUGCCAGAAUGAGAAGCACCAAUAUACAUUAUUUCAUUUAAUCUUUAUCACAAUUCUGCUGGGUAAGUAUUAUUAUCUCCAUUCUACAGUGGUCUAGACUGCUACAUAUAUACUUUACAUGU
rnacentral:lncRNA from 1 species